CGCAUCUUGCGCUCCAUGGUAUUCCGUGGAGCAUGCCUGUUUGAGUGUCACGUCAACCCUCACCGCUUGCGAUGUCAAAGUCGCUCGAGGUGGAUUUGGACCGUGCCGCGUUUCGCGGCUCGUCUUGAAAUGCAUUAGCUUUCGCUCUUUAGAGUGCUCGGCACCGGUGUGAUAAUUAUCUGCGCCAACGCCUUAGGCCUCUUCGGUAGCGCUGCUUACAGUCGUCCCGACGGACAAUUAUUAAAGCUUUGGCCUCAAAUCAGGUAGGACUACCCGCUGAACUUAA
rnacentral:misc_RNA from 1 species